AACAUGACAGUCACAGUGGUGUAUGAUAACUCUGAGGCAACAGAGCUCUGUGCAGCUCAGCACCUCUACCUCAAGCCCAUAGCAAAAUUGUUGAUCAACAUAUUGCUUCCAGGGAGUCUAGAACCUGUAAGGCCCUUCUCUAACUGGGAAGUUCUUGACCAGCUGAAGAGCCUGAUUUGCCCUGACCAGUUCACCACAGUUCAGCUCUCCAAGAGUACAAAGGACUUCAUUCAAUUGGAGGGUGAGGCUGAAACCCGAAGUUUGGUUCAGAUCCUGAAGGCAAAGUUACAUGGGAAGAUUAUCAAGCUAAAUGGUUUGAAAAAACACUUAAAAGUAGUGGCUACAGAUGCCCAGGGAGAAUGGGAGCACUUCCCCAAGGAAAAAGAGCCCUCGUUGAGUGAUGGGGCUGAAGAGCAGGAGAAGAGCCCAGAUUCCAUAUGUUUUGAAGAGUUGCCCUGUAAAUGGUUUGCACCUAAAUGUUCUAGCAAAGAGAAGCCAUAUGAAGAGAUCCUUUGGGUAGUCUUUGAAAGUUUUGGGAAGAUCAAGAAUGUGGAUAUCCUUAUGCUUGGCCCCUACAGAGAAGUGAUGACUGACAGGAGCUUUGGGGGUUUUAGCUUUGGCUUACAGACAUUUGAGGCAUUCAUACAAAUGAAACUGAUGCUUAAAGGAAAUGAUGGGAAAGCUCUGGCAUGUAACAUUAAGGUUACGUCUGAUACGACCAAGCACUUCAGCGAAGGAGCUAUAAGGAGGAGAAAUCAGGAAAGGCUAAAAUUACAAGAACUAGAAGAAGAAAGGAAAAAAGAAAAGAAAAGAGAA
rnacentral:lncRNA from 1 species